UACAGGAACUCUUAAAGAAUUCAAAAUC
rnacentral:piRNA from 1 species